rnacentral:piRNA from 1 species
UACACUUACAGAGGACUGAAAAU